AACGAAGCAUUCUUGUUUUUAGGGAGCUUCUCUGCCUCGGAUUUUUUCCCAAAUGGUGGCUGGAUCAUCGACUGGCUCACUGGUUUACAAGGGCGGAGAGAGAGAAGCGUGAAAGAUCUUGAUGCGUUUUAUGAACAAAUGUUUGAUCUACAUAAAGAGGAAAAAGAUAGAGAGAGUGAAGAUUUCGUGGAUUUGCUCUUGAGAUUUCAGAAAGAAGAAUCUGUUCUUGGAUAUGGCAAGCUCACAAGAAACCAUAUCAAAGCAAUCUUAAUGGUAACUAUAUAUAAAUACAAAUCAAGAAUUGCAAUCAUAUAUUGAAAUUACAUUAUAAUACCUCAAGAUUAUAACACUUCAUUUAUCUUGAUGGUCUUAUGACAGAAUGUUCUUAUAGGAGCCAUCGGUACUUCUGCAAUAACAAUGACAUGGGCAAUGACAGAACUUAUGAGAAACCCACGAGCAAUGAAGAAAGUUCAAUCCGAAAUCAGAAAUCAAAUUGGUAACAAGUCAAUGAUCACCUUGGAUGACAUAGAGAAGCUCCAUUACCUGAAAAUGGUUGUCAAAGAAACAUGGAGGCUACACCCUCCAGCACCUCUUCUGGUUCCAAGAGAAGUAAUGUCUGAAUUUGAGAUCAAUGGGUACAAGAUUCAACCAAAGACACGGCUUUAUGUGAAUGUUUGGGCUAUUGGACGUGAUCCAGAGACCUGGAAAGAUCCAGAGAUGUUUCUCCCGGAAAGGUUCAUUGAUAAUAACAUUGAUGUAAAAGGACAGAAUUUUGAGCUGUUACCCUUUGGAGGCGGCCGGAGACUCUGUCCUGCCAUCUACAUGGGAACAUCAAUGGUGGAGUUUGGUCUUGCGAAUAUGUGUAUCAUUUUGACUGG
rnacentral:lncRNA from 1 species